rnacentral:rRNA from 1 species
AGUGAACGCUGGCGGCAGGCCUAAUACAUGCAAGUCGAACGGCAGCACAGUGGCGCUUGCUCCAUGGGUGGCGAGUGGCGGACGGGUGAGGAAUACAUGGGAAUCUGCCCAGUCGUGGGGGAUAACGUAGGGAAACUUACGCUAAUACCGCAUGCGCCCUUCGGGGGAAGGCCGGGGACCUUCGGGCCUGGCGCGAUUGGAUGAGCCCAUGUUCGAUUAGCUAGUUGGCGGGGUAAAGGCCCACCAAGGCGACGAUCGAUAGCUGGUCUGAGAGGAUGAUCAGCCACACUGGGACUGAGACACGGCCCAGACUCCUACGGGAGGUAGCAGUAGGGAAUAUUGGACAAAGGGCGCAAGCCUGAUCCAGCCAUGCCGCGUGAGUGAAGAAGGCCCUCGGGUUGUAAAGCUCUUUUGUCCGGGAAGAAAAGCAUCGGGCUAAUACCUCGGUGUUCUGACGGUACCGGAAGAAUAAGCACCGGCUAACUUCGUG